CCCUUAGAUGUUCUGGGCCGCACGCGCGCUACACUGAUGCAUUCAACGAGUCUAAAACCUGCUCUGAUAGGGGUGGGUAAUCUUUUGAAUGUGCAUCGUGAUUGGGAUAGAUGAUUGCAAUUUUUCAUCUUCAACGAGGAAUGCCUAGUAAACGCAAGUCAUCAGCUCGCAUUGAUUACGUCCCUGCCCUUUGUACACACCGCCCGUCGCUCCUACCGAUUGAAUGAUCCGAUGAAUAUCAUGGAUUGAGGAUUAUAGCAGGUUCGCCUGUCUUGAUCUUCGAGAAGUGAAGUAAAUCUUAUCAUUUAGAGGAAGGAGAAGUCGUAACA
rnacentral:rRNA from 1 species